rnacentral:rRNA from 1 species
UACAGAGGGUGCGAGCGUUGUUCGGAAUUAUUGGGCGUAAAGCGCUUGUAGGCGGCACGUCAAGUCGCGUGUGAAAUCCCCAGGCUUAACCUGGGAAGUGCGCGCGAAACUGACGAGCUUGAGUGCCGGAGAGGGUCGCGGAAUUCCCGGUGUAGAGGUGAAAUUCGUAGAUAUCGGGAGGAACACCAGUGGCGAAGGCGGCGACCUGGACGGACACUGACGCUGAGACGGACGAAAGCGUGGGGAGCAAACAGG